AUUUUCCCGUCAUUGGUUCCCUGGCAAAACUCACUCACUCAUAAAUAUAUGCUAUGUUGCUACUUUAAAUAUAUGCUAUGUUGCUACUUUAAAUUAUAGAUAGUUCCUCUCUCUCUUUGCGCUGCUGAUAAGAUAUGGAAAGGUAAAAGAAUUACAUUUGGUCAUUAUGUGCCUAUGUGGUGCUACUUUAAAUUUUUCACUAUGAGAAAUGGCUUGAAUGCUCUCUCUCCCACUUCAUUCAUGCGUAUUUGUAUGCUGACGUUCUGUGGACCUGUGAGAUCAUUUGGACUAUAACUAUAAGGGCUCGGGCUUGUACAUAUCUUCUUUUUAUAUUGAGAACCUGUCUUGAUUCAUUAUCUGGUUUGUUUUGAAUUGUAUGACCACAGUUGUUCAAGUCUUCUUCUUACAUUGAGAACCUGUCUUGAUUCAUUUAUCUGGUUUGUUAUGAAUUGUAUAACCAC
rnacentral:lncRNA from 1 species